AAAAUCCUGAUCAAUCUGUUUGUUUCAAUCCAAACGAUAUCCUCAGUAGGUCUAGAGUAGGCAUUCUCUAUAAGUCGCUAGUAAAAAUUGUCCCGAGGCAUACAAAACAAAUCUAAAAUGAAUAAUUUCACUGGAUCUCUGACGGUGGGCAGGCGAACAAUUGCCAGAAUGAGAAUAUUCAAAAUCAAUAGAUGGCGGAAGUUGUCCAUGCCCAAGUACAAAACAAAAGGAAUAAACAGUCAAUUGGUGACACUAUGCCAGGAUCUAGGUUUAGAUCCGAAUAUGGAGCUGACUCCCGCUCAAUUCCAAGAAAUACGAGACCUGCUAAAGGUCAAUAUAGAGGAAACGGUGUACCAUAAGAUUCCGAAAAAGCUUCUAUGUUUCAUCCUAGCUGGGAUACUGACUGCACUCGCAGGCAAAGUACUCCUACAGAAUGCCUAUGUGACGGUACUGCUCCAGGAUCCAUUUAAAUGGGUAAAAAACAUAUUUUAAAAUAAAUAAACCAAACGUUCUA